rnacentral:rRNA from 1 species
CCUACGGGAGUCAGCAGUGGGGAAUAUUGCACAAUGGGGGAAACCCUGAUGCAGCGACGCCGCGUGAGUGAAGAAGUAUUUCGGUAUGUAAAGCUCUAUCAGCAGGGAAGAAGAAAGACGGUACCUGACUAAGAAGCCCCGGCUAACUACGUGCCAGCAGCCGCGGUAAUACGUAGGGGGCAAGCGUUAUCCGGAUUUACUGGGUGGAAAGGGAGCGUAGACGGCUGUGCAAGUCUGAAGUGAAAGCCCAGGGCUCAACCCUGGGACUGCUUUGGAAACUGUGGAGCUAGAGUGCUGGAGAGGUAAGUGGAAUUCCUAGUGUAGCGGUGAAAUGCGUAGAUAUUAGGAGGAACACCAGUGGCGAAGGCGGCUUACUGGACAGUAACUGACGUUGAGGCUCGAAAGCGUGGGGAGCAAACAGGAUUAGAUACCCCAGUAGUC